GUGCUUUACGUAGUAUAGUGCUUUUCACAUUAAACAAAAAGUGAAAGGUGCCAUACUAUGUAUAGGA
ensembl:miRNA Mir471 microRNA 471